GGGGAGCGGGCUAUCUGCAGUCGAGCGGAUGAGAGGAGCUGGUUGCAUGAUUGAUGGGCGGACGGGUGAGUAAUGCCUACGAAUCUGCCUGGUGCCGUGGGACAUGGUUUCACUAGGAACGCUGGUACCUCAUACCUCCUACUUGAUAUUGCGGGGGAGCUUCAGACCUCACGCUAUCACAUGAUCCUACGUCGGAUUAGCUCUGUGGCGAGGUAACUGCUCGCGCGGGCGACGAUCCACCACUGGUCUGAUACGAUGAUCCACCUCACUGGGAGCUGAGACACGGUCGCGACUCCUACCGGAGGCAACUCUGGGGAAUAUUGGACAAUGGGCGUCUUCCUGAUCGAGCCAUGCCCCGUGUGAGCAGCACGUCUUCAGAUUGUAAAGCUCUUUGAUCUGGGAGGUCUGGCGCCAAGGUAAAACCUUGCCGUUUUGACCUGCCCGAAGAAAUACGCACCGGCUAACUUCGUGCCCGCAUCCGCGCUUGUACGAAGGGUGCAAGCUUUAAUCGGAGUUACUGGUCGCCAAACUCGCGGAGGUGGUUCGUUGCGCUGGAUGUUCAAGCCCCCGGCUCAACCUGCCAACUGCUCUCCUUACUGGCGAGCUAGAGUAUGGCAAACGGGGGUGGAAUUUCCUGUGUAGCGGUAGGGUGGUGGAAUUUCCUGUGUAGCGGUGAAAUGCGUAGAUAUAGGAAGGACCACCGGUGGCGAAGGCGACCACGUGGGUUAAUACUGACAAGGAGGUGAGAAAGCGUGGGGAGCAAACAGGAUUAGAUACCGUGGUAGUCCACGCAGUAAACGAUGUCGAGUAGCCGGGGGGAUCCUUGAGAUCGUAGUGGAGCAGAUAACGCAUUAAGUUGACCGCGUGGGGAGUGCGGCCGCAAGGUUAAAACUCAGAAGAAUUGGGGGGGGCCCGCACAAGCGGUGGAGCAUGUGGUAUAAUUAGAAGCAACGAGAAGAACCUUAACAGGCCGUGACAUGCAGAGAACUUUCCAGAGAUGGAUUGGUGCCUUGGGGAAAUCUGACACAGGUGCUGCAUGGCUGUCGUCAGCUCGUGUCGUGAGAUGGGGGGAUAAGUCCCGUAAAGAGCGCAACCCUUGUCUUUAGUCACCAGCACGUGGAGGUGGGCACUGUAAGGAGACUGGCGGCGACAAGCCGGAGGAAGGGGGGGAUGACGACAAGUCAUCAUCGCCCUGACGGCGGGGGCUCCACACGUGCAACAAUGGGCGGAACAAGGGGUGGACAAGCGGGGAGGAGGAGAUAAUCCCAAAAACCGGAUCGUAGUGGGGAUCAGCAGUGCAGACAUCUCGAGCAGCGAGAAGUAGAGAAUCGGUAGUAAUGGGAAUCCGAAUGUCGGUGAGAAUGCGUUCGGGUGCGUGCACACACCGCGUCUCACACCGAUGAGAGUGCGGUCACUCGCAGAAGCGAGGGAGUAUAACGCAAGGGAGCCCGCUGCCAAGAGGUCAGAGCGAA
rnacentral:rRNA from 1 species